rnacentral:lncRNA from 1 species
UAAUUAAUCAUUUGCUAGUAAGUUACAUUUUCAAUAAUUCCAAAGAAAAUCCAUAAUCUCUUCUCAAAAACUCAUCUUUAUAUCAAAAUUUAACCAUAGCUCUAUACAUCCAUCUUCAAUAUAUAUGUAAAGUCAUGACUUCCAAAAAAUCCCUUUACUUUGUAUAAAAUGCUCAAUUUAUAAUAAAACUCCUUCAAAAUAUAUUUUUCCCAUAUAGGUUUUCUUCUUCCCAAACUUUAGAAAUUCAUAUCUCUCGAUCUAACCAUUUAGUUUUUGUCAAAUUUAAAAAUUAUAUAAAAUUUACUUUUAAGCUUUAUUUCAAAAAUAUUCAAUUAUAAAUUUAUUACCAAUC